rnacentral:rRNA from 1 species
GACGAACGCUGGCGGCGCGCCUAACACAUGCAAGUCGAACGAGUGAGAGAGAGCUUGCUUUCUCGAGCGAGUGGCGAACGGGUGAGUAACGCGUGAGGAACCUGCCUCAAAGAGGGGGACAACAGUUGGAAACGACUGCUAAUACCGCAUAAGCCCACGGGUCGGCAUCGACCAGAGGGAAAAGGAGCAAUCCGCUUUGAGAUGGCCUCGCGUCCGAUUAGCUAGUUGGUGAGGUAACGGCCCACCAAGGCAACGAUCGGUAGCCGGACUGAGAGGUUGAACGGCCACAUUGGGACUGAGACACGGCCCAGACUCCUACGGGAGGCAGCAGUGGGGAAUAUUGCACAAUGGGGGAAACCCUGAUGCAGCGACGCCGCGUGGAGGAAGAAGGUCUUCGGAUUGUAAACUCCUGUUGUUGAGGAAGAUAAUGACGGUACUCAACAAGGAAGUGACGGCUAACUACGUGCCAGCAGCCGCGGUAAAACGUAGGUCACAAGCGUUGUCCGGAAUUACUGGGUGUAAAGGGAGCGCAGGCGGGAAGACAAGUUGGAAGUGAAAUCUAUGGGCUCAACCCAUAAACUGCUUUCAAAACUGUUUUUCUUGAGUAGUGCAGAGGUAGGCGGAAUUCCCGGUGUAGCGGUGGAAUGCGUAGAUAUCGGGAGGAACACCAGUGGCGAAGGCGGCCUACUGGGCCCCAACUGACGCUGAAGCUCGAAAGUGUGGGGUAGCAAACAGGGAUUAAAACCCCUGGGAAGUCCACCCCGUAAACGAUGAUUAAUUAGGUGUUGGAGGAUUGACCCCCUCAGUGCCGCAGUUAACACAAUAAGUAAUCCACCUGGGGAGUACGACCGCAAGGUUGAAACUCAAAGGAAUUGACGGGGGCCCGCACAAGCAGCGGAGUAUGUGGUUUAAUUUGACGCAACGCGAAGAACCUUACCAAGUCUUGACAUCCCUUGACGAACAUAGAAAUAUGUUUUCUCUUCGGAGCAAGGAGACAGGUGGUGCAUGGUUGUCGUCAGCUCGUGUCGUGAGAUGUUGGGGUAAGUCCCGCAACGAGCGCAACCCUUACUGUCAGUUACUACGCAAGAGGACUCUGGCAGGACUGCCGUUGACAAAACGGAGGAAGGUGGGGAGGACGUCAAAUCAUCAUGCCCCCUAUGACUUGGGCUACACACGUACUACAAUGGCGUUAAACAAAGAGAAGCAAGACCGCGAGGUGGAGCAAAACUCAGAAACAACGUCCCAGUUCGGACUGCAGGCUGCAACUCGCCUGCACGAAGUCGGAAUUGCUAGUAAUCGUGGAUCAGCAUGCCACGGUGAAUACGUUCCCGGGCCUUGCACA